GACGAACGCUGGCGGCGUGCUUGACACAUGCAAGUCGAACGGAAAGGCCUGCUUUCCCUUGUGGAUUGCGGGUACUCGAGUGGCGAACGGGUGAGUAACACGUGAGUGAUCUGCCCCCAACUUGGGUAUAAGCCUGGGAAACUGGGUCUAAUUCCCGAUAGGACUGCAGGGUGGUGCCUGUGGUGGAAAACGAUUUUCUAGUGGUUGGGGAUGAGCUCGCGGCCUAUCAGCUUGUUGGUGGGGUAAUGGCCUACCAAGGCGGCGACGGGUAGCCGGCCUGGGAGGGUGGACGGGCACAUUGGGACUGAGAUACGGCCCAGACGCCUACGGGAGGCAGCAGUGGGGAAUAUUGCGCGAUGGGCGGAAGCCUGAUGGAGCGACGCCGCGUGGGGGAUGACGGCCUUCGGGUGGUGAACUCCUUUCGACCGCGAGGAAGCCACCUGGUUGGAAGGGUGGUGACGGUAGUGGUAGAAGAAGCACCGGCUAACUACGUG
rnacentral:rRNA from 1 species